rnacentral:rRNA from 1 species
AGGUUUCCAGAGUAAAGCUGAUCUGCUCUGGGUAAGUCGGGGCCUAAGGCGAGGUCGAAAGACGUAGUCGAUGGAUAACAGGUGGAGAUUCCUGUACUAUGUGUACCCAGAACUGUGGGGACGCAUGUGGAGAGCACGAGCCGGGAAAGAGAAAACCGGUACAAGCGGGGUAGGAGUAAGGACAGCAAAUCUUCCUUACAAUCCGAAGACGUAAUGUGGACCGAACCAAAGUAGGGAAGCGUGUGAGCCAUGUGCCAAGAAAAGCCGCUAUUGUGAUACACAUACCCGUACCGUAAACCGACACAGGUGGAUGAGGAGAGAAUCCUAAGGCCGACGGAAGAAGCAUUGUUAAGGAACUCGGCAAAAUGACCCCGUAACUUCGGGAGAAGGGGUGCUCUUGAAAAAGAGCCGCAGAGAAUUGGCCCAAGCAACUGUUUAGCAAAAACACAGGUCUAUGCAAAACCGAAAGGUGAGGUAUAUGGGCUGACGCCUGCCCGGUGCUGGAAGGUUAAGAGGAGAGGUUAGCGCAAGCGAAGCUUUGAAUUUAAGCCCCAGUAAACGGCGGCCGUAACUAUAACGGUCCUAAGGUAGCGAAAUUCCUUGUCGGGUAAGUUCCGACCCGCACGAAAGGCGUAAUGAUUUGGGCACUGUCUCAACGAUACACCCGGUGAAAUUGAAAUACCAGUGAAGAUGCUGGUUACCUGCGCCAGGACGGAAAGACCCCAUGGAGCUUUACUCUAGCUUGAUACUGGGAUUCGGUAUUGCAUGUACAGGAUAGGUGGGAGACGAAGAGGUGAUGACGCCAGUUGUCACGGAGUCGAUGUUGGGAUACCACCCCUGCAGUACUGGGUUUCUAACCUGCGGCCGUGACCCGGCCGGGGGACAAUGUCUGGUGGGGAGUUUGACUGGGGCGGUCGCCUCCGAAAGAGUAUCGGAGGCGCUCAAAGGUUCCCUCAGAAUGGUUGGAAACCAUUCGAAGAGUGCAAAGGCAGAAGGGAGCUUGACUGCGACACCGACGGGUGGAGCAGGUACGAAAGUAGGACUUAGUGAUCCGGUGGUAUUAAGUGGGAAUGCCAUCGCUCAACGGAUAAAAGCUACCCUGGGGAUAACAGGCUUAUCACUCCCAAGAGUUCACAUCGACGGAGUGGUUUGGCACCUCGAUGUCGGCUCAUCGCAUCCUGGGGCUGAAGUAGGUCCCAAGGGUUGGGCUGUUCGCCCAUUAAAGCGGUACGCGAGCUGGGUUCAGAACGUCGUGAGACAGUUCGGUCCCUAUCCGGCG